UACGUAGGGUCCGAGCGUUGUCCGGAAUCAUUGGGCGUAAAGAGCGCGCAGGCGGCUGGUCAAGUCCGAUGUGAAAUCUCCCGGCUCAACUGGGAAACUGCAUCGGAAACUGAUCGGCUUGAAGAUGGGAGAGGGUAGUGGAAUUCCCGGUGUAGUGGUGAAAUGCGUAGAUAUCGGGAGGAACACCAGCGGCGAAGGCGGCAUCCUGGACUGGUCCUGACGCUCAGGAGCGAAAGCGUGGGGAGCGAUCCGG
rnacentral:rRNA from 1 species